AUUGAACGCUGGCGGCAGGCCUAACACAUGCAAGUCGAACGGCAGCACAGAAGAGCUUGCUCUUUGGGUGGCGAGUGGCGGACGGGUGAGUAAUGUCUGGGAAACUGCCCGAUGGAGGGGGAUAACUACUGGAAACGGUAGCUAAUACCGCAUAACGUUGCGAGACCAAAGUGGGGGGCCUUCGGGCCUACCACCAUCGGAUGUGCCCAGAUGGGAUUAGCUAGUAGGUGGGGUAAUGGCUCACCCAGGCGACGAUCCCUAGCUGGUCUGAGAGGAUGACCAGCCACACUGGAACUGAGACACGGUCCAGACUCCUACGGGAGGCAGCAGUGGGGAAUAUUGCACAAUGGGCGCAAGCCUGAUGCAGCCAUGCCGCGUGUAUGAAGAAGGCCUUCGGGUUGUAAAGUACUUUCAGCGGGGAGGAUGGCGGUGAGGUUAAUAACCUUGCCGAUUGACGUUACCCGCAGAAGAAGCACCGGCUAACUCCGUGCCAGCCGCCGCGGUAA
rnacentral:rRNA from 1 species